CACAAGAGCAUUUGGGGGACAGCUGGUACAAAUAGACAUAAAGAGUGUGACAGCUGAUUCACUGGGCAAAAAGGGCUGGAGAAGCAGGUGAGAAAUCCAGCUGAACCCUUUGGGUGAAGGAGUAGCAUGAAACAGAGAGCCCUUGAAGGAAGAGCAAUGUGUGGAGAAGCAAAAAGCUGAGGAAAAUCUUCACUGAAAAGCUGAUAAAAGAUGAAGCACAAGAACAAAUAUGGGACUGAGACUGAGAGAAAAUGCUCAAGAAAACAGAGCAAAAAAGUAGAAAGAAGGUCGAUACUCAGGGCUUGAGGAGCCCUUUGAAGGACAGAGCAGUGUGGACAGCUUUGUUAUACAGGUCCUAGAAAAAUUGCUCAGAGUCAUGGACCUCUGUUCUCUGCGUUAUCCCUGGUCAGAAGAUGAACUCCUGCCCUGGGGACUCUGCAGCUGCUCCCAAGGGUGAAGGAGUGGAAAACACUGUAUAAGCAACAAGAAAAAUAUCUUGAUGGUAAUAAUCAUAUGUUCAAAAAAACAACAAAAAACAAUUCCAGCAAAUGUUUCUGGCAGUAAUGCACCUGUAUAAUGGAUUCCUGAUUUAUUUACCAUACCUGCUACUCACUUUCAACUCUGGCAGGAAUCAAUAAUCCUUCACGCACAGACUCCAUAUAAAUUCUCCUCACAGGGACCACAUUCAUAACUAGUAUUUGUUUACAGUCAUAUUAUAGAAAUGUGAGUAAAAUAUAUUAUGGCACUCUGCAUAAAGCCUGUAGGCCACAUAAAACAAGCAUAACUCUCAGUCGUGUCACUUCCCAUAACUCAGGCUCUGAAAAGCAUGACAAGAUUCAUCAAUUCUUGUUAGUCCUAGUAUUAAAUAAUGUAUGAACAUAUGAAUAAACAAAACAAAGAAAAAAAUCCAGGUUGGUUUUGUACAUGCAAAGUACACAGAGUUCUAAGAGCUUUAUUAAUUUAUUUUCUUUAUAAAAUCUCACUCAAUGUAGGCUCACUCUGUUUCUCUGAUGGAACCAGUGGCAUAAUGUAAUUAUUUUCAGUCUGGCCAGCAGUUUAAUGAAAAUUAUGCUACCAACCUGAGUUUACACCCAGUAUAAUCCUCUUGUUUAACAUGAGGGUGGUUUUCCUGUGUUUUUUAAACAUCUACAAAGAAAUUCAGGCAAGAGUAUUAAUGAUAUCUGCAGUAGCAAGGGAGUUGCCAACACUAUCCUUUCUUCAAAUCCAAUUGCAAGUUUGAGUCAAUAGUCUUAACAUUCUGCUUCUUAAAAACUGGUGGGUAUCUUGAGAAGUAUCCAAGGAAUCCCUAAAUGGUAUUACAACCAGGAAAGAUUAUCAGCCUCCAGCAUUUUGAGCUGGAGCAUAACAAUAAUUUUGCUUCCAUUAGACAGAAGACAUAUCACAAAACCAAAUUGUUUAAAAGCCACUAAACUCAAUCAGCCCACACAUUAUUCCAAAUCUGAAAAGCUGAUGAAAUGUGCCUUAAUGCUGAUAUCUUUGUGGAAACACUGCUGUGAAUAUAAAGGUAAAAGAAUGUUGCAAUGGGACCCAGACUAGUACUAAAAUGUAAGGGCUAUUUACUAGUAAAAUAAUAAUGGCACAUGGAAGAGAGUGAAGAAAAACCACAUUUUUAAUUUACUUAUCCUCUUCUAUAUGCACGGAGCUCACCAUCAGAACAGUUUGAUCAGAG